rnacentral:tRNA from 1 species
GGUUCCAAAGAGUAGUGGUUAGCAUGUCUGCUUCACACACACAAGGUCCUGGGUUCAAGCCCCAGCGGAGCCA